rnacentral:rRNA from 1 species
GUGUCAGCCGCCGCGGUAAUACAGAGGGUGCAAGCGUUGUUCGGAAUUAUUGGGCGUAAAGCGCGUGUAGGCGGCCUUGCAAGUUGGGUGUGAAAGCCCUCGGCUUAACCGAGGAAGUGCGCCCAAAACUACGAGGCUUGAGUGCCGGAGAGGGUGGCGGAAUUCCCGGUGUAGAGGUGAAAUUCGUAGAUAUCGGGAGGAACACCAGCGGCGAAGGCGGCCACCUGGACGGUAACUGACGCUGAGACGCGAAAGCGUGGGGAGCAAACAGGAUUAGAAACCCCUGUAGUCC